UACAGAGGUCUCAAGCGUUGUUCGGAAUCACUGGGCGUAAAGGGUGCGUAGGCGGCACAGAAAGUCAGAUGUGAAAUCCGGAGGCUCAACCUCCGAAUUGCAUCCGAAACUCCUGAGCUUGAGUAUUGUAGAGGAGUCUGGAAUUCUCGGUGUAGCAGUGAAAUGCGUAGAUAUCGAGAAGAACGCUCGCAGCGAAAGCGGGACUCUGGGCAAUUUCUGACGCUGAGGCACGAAGGCUAGGGGAGCAAACGGG
rnacentral:rRNA from 1 species